rnacentral:sRNA from 1 species
UCCUGGGGGGGGGGCCCGUGCCCUGCCUCAGUCUCCUGGAGCUCCUUGGGGACCAGGACCCAUAUUCCCGCCCUGGCA